UAGCUUCCUGGCUCUUACAGCCAGGUCUAAGGGAUGCACACUCCUUGGACGUGGGGAGGAGUGGCGUGGCUUGAAGGAGGCACUCUGGACAGUGCCUGUCGUGGGGCAGUGGCAGUGCGGAGGGCAGGAAGGCGCUGCAGCUGGCUGGCUUCAGGCUGCUUUGCAGUAACCACUUGGGUGACGGUGGGUAAUCCCAGUGUCUGCACCUGGAGCAGAGCCUCAGCCUUCUGGUUUGUAGAAUGAAGAUAAUAUAAGGGUAUUGUGGGAACUCCCUGAAAAUUAUGGGUAAUUUUAAACAGCCAAAGCGCCUGUCAACAUGGGAUACUUUAACAGCCAGGAUGCAUGCAUUGGUGGGUGUUGUGCAUGCUUUCAAGUCAUAUUCCAAGGAGUACCACUUACAGACCUCUCAGCUGUGCAGAUAAGGAGAAAGAACAGAAUCUGUCCUUCGUGCCCUUGAAAAUUAGUGCAUCAUGCAUCUAGAAGACAGACUGCAGGAGCUGUACCUUAAAAGUAAGAUGCUGUCCGAGUAUCUCACGGGGGACACACGCGUCCACGUGAAGGAGCUGGGUGUCGUGCUGGGGAUUGAAUCUAAUGACCUGCCUCUGUUGACUGCUAUCGCCAGCACACAUUCUCCUCAUGUGGCUCAAAUACUACUAUAAGCUAAAGCUCAGGACACUUCUUCCUUGGAAGAAGAAAAAUUCUCAGCUGCAAGAGAAAGGAAUAAGCUCUCUGGACGUCCAGCGUGAGAAGAGCAAGCAGAAACCAUUCCCGCUGUGUGUCUUGCACUGUUGCUUUCAGGUGGAUGCUUAUUGGAAGACUUAUGUUGGCACGGCACAGUGGCAUUUGUGACUUCAGGAGGCCUUUCUGCCUUUCGUUCCCAUGACUCAGCAGAGCCAGCCUGCUGGCGGAGGGGCACAGCACUACAGAGCGCUCGCUGCCGCGCUGCCAGGCGGGGCGAGGGGCGAGGGGCACUGUGUCAUUCUAGCAGCAGCGCCCAGCAGGCGGUGCUGCACACGAGCCAGGCGGGCGCGCUGUUCUAGAGACCGCGGUCCUCAGGCCAGGCGGGAAAGCCAUGCCACUGGCCACUGCCCCCAGCUCUGGCUGCAGCAGCUGCCGUGGGGAACAGAGGGUGCUGGGGGCGCUGUCCCCUUUCUGUUCAGUUUACUUGACUCAGGUGCAACCACAGGGAGUCAGAGAUGGAGCACUGGUGCGAGGUCUGUAUCUUGGGGAGAGGCGCUCAGCAGAGGACUGCAGGGAGGGAGGGCUCCCGCCGGCCGCCCCUUCCUGUGAGCGCUGCCAAGGACCAGGCUGUUUGAGGCACGGCUGGCUGGGUGGGAGCGAGGUCUGCAGCAGUUCCUUCGCAUAUUUCAGACAAUCCAUAUCUGAUCUGGAUUUUUACAUUAUCACCUCUGCACCUUCUGAUUCCUAUGUCCUUUUCAAAAUGACUUUACAGAAUUUCACUUGACCGUCAUAUAAAGCUUACCAAAGUGAAGAAUUAUUGUUCUAGUUCACUUCUAAAAAAAACCUUAAUUUUCUGUUACCAUAAAGAGACUUGGUUUGCUGACCAUGAAACAGACUGUGUGCUCACCUCUAGAGUAGAGUGGAAGACUUUUAACCUCUGACUGUGGAAAGGCAGGAGCAGUGGUAAAGCCAGCUGCUGCCGCACUUCAUGUGUCCCUGGCCUUGAGAACAGGAGAGGGAGCUCUCUGGGGGGAGCUGGCUGGCUGAUGGAGCCAUGAGUGACAUAAGUCUGUCUCUGUUCUUUCGCAAAUACAAGUCCGUUGUUGAUGCGUGAGUCGGCCAGCUGCCCGGGAGGCAGGCAGCGCUGAGGACCAGGGCAGAGCUGUUCCCCCUCCGCCCGCUAAGAAGAGGUCAGUGGGUGCCCAAAAAGGCCUGUAAGAUUUUUAAAUUUUCUUUGACGUCUUUCACAAAAUCGAAGUUUCCCUUUCUUUUGAAUCUUUGCUGUUGUGCCUGAGGGAGAGAACGCACCCUCCCCUGGGUCCUGCCCCGGCAUCUGCUUUCCCUUCUGUGUGAAUAAGCAGGUGGCAGCCUUUCCCUUGGUCCGGUCUGCACCGCCCAGCGCAUUCCCUUGUUUACACCUGUGGGCACUUUGCCUCGCUUCAGAGGAAAGGACAGGAUACAGACUCACUUCUGUUCUGUUCAGGUGUGUACCCAGGAGCAUGUGAAAUUAGCCCCAUCCAGGGGAAACUGACUUUAACCGGCUGAUUCUCAACUCCAUGUAUAAAAUAUUUAGCCCAGACCUUCAACCGGAGAAAACUGGCCCCUAAGAGUGUUGUUCCGGACUGCCCUGGGGAGAAGCUGGCAGGAGCUGCUCUCGGUCACAGUGGGGUUUGCCUCGGUGGUGGGAUUCCAGUCAGAGCCUGAUCCUCAGGUCUGUUACCUGUGAAACAGACCAGGAAUGCUGCUGCCCCUGUAGCCCUCCUCUGAACCCUGCCGUUCACAUUUUCUUUGUUUAAAUUCAACCUCUUCCCAAAAGUGAGAGAGAAUCCUCAUGGACUUGUGCCGAGAUGCGCCUGCUGCUCCUCCACACACCUGGGUUCCAUCCACCUUGGCCAGCUGGGCCAGAAAGGGACUUGCUCUCCCCCGUGCCCACCGUGGCGAUAAAAAUAAAAAUCAAAAAAAUAAGAAAUCUACCUCAGUUGACAGAUUCGACCUCUAGGGUUUUUUUCAACUUGUGAGUCUUACCUGUUGAGUGGAACUUUCGCAGUGUCUUGCUUUUCUGAGCAAGCUAGCGAGGCACAACAGAGCAGAAGGACUUCAGUCACUGUGAUGGGCCUCUCCUAGCAUAUUGCAGUUUUAUUUUUAACAAACUGAUAAGUGAUAUGAAUGUAAAGGUAAUUGUAGCGCAUUUUAAACACGACAAUGAAAAUUUAAAAUGUAGCUUCCAGACUUGUGCAUAAUUCCAAAGUAUUUUAUUUUUAUCAGUGUUAAAUAGCUUUUUGUACAGGCUUCAAUCCAUUUUUCUGAAAUGUGCUGUUUUUUAAUGAAAGUAACUAUAAUCUUUUCACAUCCCAUGGAACUGCUGUUUACACAUUGCAACUUUUUAAACUUAACCAUAUUUUUCCGAAUUAACUUUUUUGGAGGGAGGAAAUUCCCCACUUGCUAAAUGAUACUAAACUGUCGUUUGGGCUCUUAUAAUUAGGUCCUCAGAUUUUAUAAAAGGGUAGUCUGUAGCUUUCUAGGUUCUUCACUAACUAAAGUUGGUUGUACAUAAAUAAUAGAGUGACACCCAAAAUCUUUUAAAUAUCUGGGUUUUCCACUAGCGACAUAGCGUGGAGAAGUAUUUUGUUCAUGCAUACUUUAGCCAUUAAAUUGGACACAUCUUGAGCUUCUCUUAGUUAAUGCGAACCGUUUGUUUUUUUUUAUUGUACUUGAGACAGGAUAUUUUAAUAUAAUUUUUGCCUAAAUCAAACAGCCCACUCUAAAUGUUAAUUUUUAAAUGUCAGACUUUGGUGAGCCAUCUCUUUGGGAAGUAAGAUUACAGUAUGCUUAAUUUUCAGUGGUGGCUAAAGACAAAAUUCUGGGAUUUGUUACUAUUAAAGCUUCAUUAAGAGAAAUUGAUAGAGACUUUCUAUUUUUUGAUCAACUGAAUGGAUACCAAUGUCAGUGUAUGGGAAACUUUUCUUAAAACUUGUUCAUGUAUUCUUUUGAUCCAUUUUCUGUGGCAUUUGGUGC
rnacentral:lncRNA from 1 species